CUUGAACCCAGGAGGCAGAGGUUGCAGUAAGCUGUGAUUGCGCCACUGCACUCCAGCCUGAGUGACGCAGGGAGACUCCGUCUCAGAGAAAAAAAAAAGAAAUCCCACCCAUUCAAAACGUCCCAAAUCCCAUCCUCUGAAGUCAUGACAAUCACUUAAAUCAGGUAUGUGUGAGACCGUGGGUGUGCGCCAACCUGGGGCUAAAGUCCUCCAUGCAUGGGCUUGUGAACUAGAAAACAAGCCAUCUGCUUAAAGUAUCAACAGCAGGACAGCUCUUCCCACUCAAAAAGGGAGAAUGACAGAGGGGCCGCCGGCCACCACGUUUCCAAUCCGGCGGGGCAAACUCCACGUGGCACAGCUCUGGGGACGCUCCUCGGGGGCUCUCAGCCCCGCCGGCCUCUGCGGGAGCCUCGGGAUCGUUCCCCGUUUCCUAAAGGGCAGCUCGUGUUCACAGCUGAGGAGCGCCACCGGCCUGUUUCCUGCCUGCAGACUCCCGAAGUUCGAUGCCCUCUUACCUUCGUCCAACGCUGUCUCUGCCAAUCUAGUUUCUGCUGUAGCGCACAGCCCAGUGGAGUCUCUGCCACCAACAACACAAGGACAGCCUUCCCUCCAGCUUCCAACACCUGCAUCCUCACUUCCUCCUGAGCCCGCACCAGAAGCACCUUCAACAUCCGUGUCCCCACCCACCAUCUCUUCAGGACACCUCAGUUUCUUCCAGCCUGCACCUCAAAAUACUCACGUCCAAAAUCUCAUCCAAAUCCCAUCAGUUCAAAAAGUCCCAAAUUUCAUCAUCUGAAGUCAUCAGAGGCCGGGCACAGUGGCUCACGCCUGUAAUCCCAGCACUUUGGGAGGCCGAGACGGGCAGAGCCCUUGAGGUCAGGAGCUUCAGACCAGCCUGGCCAACAUGGUGAAACCCCAUCUCUACCAAAAAUAACAAAACUUAGCCGGGCGUAGUAGCAGGUGUCUGUAAUCCCAGCUACUCAGGAGGCUGAGGCAGGAGAAUCACUUGUACCCGGGAAGUGGAGGUUGCAGUGAGCCAAGAUCGCACCACUGCAUUCCAG
rnacentral:lncRNA from 1 species